AUUGAACGCUGGCGGUAGGCCUAACACAUGCAAGUCGAACGGCAGCACAGUAAGAGCUUGCUCUUACGGGUGGCGAGUGGCGGACGGGUGAGGAAUACAUCGGAAUCUACUUGUUCGUGGGGGAAAACGUAGGGAAACUUACGCUAAUACCGCAUACGACAUACGGGUGAAAGCAGGGGAACUUUGGACCUUGCGCGAUUGAAUGAGCCGAUGUCGGAUUAGCUAGUUGGCGGGGUAAAGGCCCACCAAGGCGACGAUCCGUAGCUGGUCUGAGAGGAUGAUCAGCCACACUGGAACUGAGACACGGUCCAGACUCCUACGGGAGGCAGCAGUGGGGAAUAUUGGACAAUGGGCGCAAGCCUGAUCCAGCCAUACCGCGUGGGUGAAGAAGGCCUUCGGGUUGUAAAGCCCUUUUGUUGGGAAAGAAAAGCAGCAGGUUAAUACCCCGCUGUUCUGACGGUACCCAAAGAAUAAGCACCGGCUAACUUCGUG
rnacentral:rRNA from 1 species